rnacentral:misc_RNA from 1 species
UAAUACAAUUAUUAUUAUUAUUAUUCUUAGAGGAAAUUCCGUGCUACAAAUCCAAGCGAGCUGAGUUGGAAUAUACCAUGUUCAGGACUGCGCAUUGCUCAAGUUUUUCACAUACAAUAGAAGCCAUUGGUAGAGGACUAGAGGUCGUACAAUUGACUAACAGUGCCCUCCCCCUUCUGCUCCUGAAAAUUUUGGUUAGCUGCCCAUCCCCACCCACUACCAAAGGUGAGAUAAAAUUCCUGAUGCUGAAGCUUUAUAGCUGAUAGCG